UACGGAGGGAGCUAGCGUUGUUCGGAAUUACUGGGCGUAAAGCGCACGUAGGCGGCUUUGUAAGUUAGAGGUGAAAGCCCGGGGCUCAACUCCGGAACUGCCUUUAAGACUGCAUCGCUUGAAUCCGGGAGAGGUGAGUGGAAUUCCGAGUGUAGAGGUGAAAUUCGUAGAUAUUCGGAAGAACACCAGUGGCGAAGGCGGCUCACUGGACCGGUAAUUGACGCUGAGGUGCGAAAGCGUGGGAGCAAACAGG
rnacentral:rRNA from 1 species